rnacentral:rRNA from 1 species
UUGACUAGCUGAGAGGAGGUGCAUGGCCGUCGUCAGUUCGUACUGUGAAGCAUCCUGUUAAGUCAGGCAACGAGCGAGACCCACGCCAACAGUUGCCAGCAUGUCCUCCGGGAUGAUGGGGACACUGUUGGGACCGCUCUGCUAAAGAGGAGGAAGGAAUGGGCAACGGUAGGUCAGCAUGCCCCGAAUUAUCCGGGCUACACGCGGGCUACAAUGGUCAGGACAAUGGGUAUCGACACCGAGAGGUAGAGGCAAUCUCCUAAACCUGUCCUUAGUUCGGAUUGUGGGCUGCAACUCGCCCACAUGAAGCUGGAAUCCGUAGUAAUCGCGUUUCAAAAUAGCGCGGUGAAUAUGUCCCUGCUCCUU